GAUUUCUGGCCUAGUGGAUCUGGCCCGCCUCGAAAGAGUGUGAGUUGUCGGCGUCUGCUGGUCAUCUUUCUAGAAAACGCUUCUGCCCUUUACUGGGUCGGGGGCGCAAUCUAGAUCUUUUACUUUGAAAAAAUUAGAGUGUUCAAAGCAGGCUUUACGCUGUGAAUACAUUAGCAUGGAAUAAUAAGAUAGGGCUUUGGUACUAUUUUGUUGGUUUCUAGGACUGAAGUAAUGAUUGAUAGGGAUAGUUGGGGGUGCUAGUAUUCAGCGGCCAGAGGUGAAAUUCUCGGAUUCGCUGAAGACUAACUUAUGCGAAAGCAUU
rnacentral:rRNA from 1 species